CACAUUUGGAGAAUUUCUGAGUCUGUGAUGGUGUAACCCACAAACGCCAAGCACGCACAGUCCCACAAUCAACUGGCUGAGCUGUGUUGAGUUCAAUCCCUCCCCUCCCCUCCCUUUCCUCCUCCCUCCUGUAGAUCAGCAGCCAAACAUAUGCCGAUGUGAACUCGACGUGGAUUAUUGAGCCAACAGCAACUCUACGCAAACAUUUUCCAGACUUUCCAACUCCGGUCCCGGCCUGUGCUGAGAGAAAUCCAAUGGGAUUUAUAGAUCAUCUCCCUACAGCUGUCCCUUCUCAGUCAGUCAACCCCCCACUGCAUCCACACACACACACACACACACACACACACACACACACACACACACACACACACACACACACACACACACACACACACACACACAUCAACAGGCCGGACAAACUCCUCUGUCCUCCUCACUGUCUGUGCGUUUCUCAAAGAGAUCAUAUGAUUCAAUGAAUUUGAGGGGAUUUGGAGUCCGGAACCUGCAUGAGACUCCGAGGUCAGCCAGAAACAAGGCCACGAACACCAUCAGAGUCCCACUCGGUCCUCUAGGGGGCGAAUUCAGCCCGGGCAAAGACAGAGCUAAGGCAAAGAUACCAUUAUUAUUACUAAUAUUUUCUUAAAGCCAAAUGAUGCAGCUUUAUAACAGAGAAGGACAACAAAAUCGCACCACACUCCUAUCCAGCUUCAUUACAGUGAUGCCUUAUCUGGUGGUAAAGCCUAAAGCGAGCACACACAUACUUAAAACACACAAAUAUAUGGAUUAGUCUGUCGUUUUUUAGGUUUUUCAAAUUGAAAAAUGGCAGGGAGUAUCCUCGCAUUGAUACAAACUGCGAAAAUUAUUUUCUCUGUGUUUUAAAUGUAAAUAAAAAGAGGAAAAAGUUGAAGUUUUGGGCACCAGAAUUCGUUUCAGAAUACAAUAUUUAAAUUCAAAGCAGAUAAGUUGAUUUACAAACACAACUGAGGCAUCAACUGAAUGAAAAGCAAGAUGUCAUAUUUUUCUGUCAUUUUGGACUGACAGCAAAGAGAGUUCCCCACCUCCUUGACCGUGAAUAAGAGAGAGAGAGAGAGAGAGAGAGAGAGAGAGAGAGAGAGAGAGAGAGAGAGAGAGAGAGAGAGAGAGAGCCCGAGAGAGAGCUCAGCCCUCGUUCUCCAAACACAGUCCCAGAGAAAUGAGCGCACAUGCAGGAGGCGCUGGGAAGCAGCCUGUAAAGCAGUUCCCCCAGUUCAGAUUAAUGGUAGUGCGCGCUUAUUCUGCAGUCGGGGUGAAAGGGCUAGGAUCACUAAUGAUUAUAAUAUAAUGUGUGGCGAUAACCACUCCCUUUGAGAUAUUAUCGCCCGCUGGCCAAUGCUCAGGGGACGGGCUUGCGUGGCUGCAGAGCGGCAGAUAGCUGCUGCUGCUGCUGCAGACACCGCAGCGGAUUUCUGCGCUCUGAAAUAAAAAAAAUAAAAAGAGAGAGAGAGAGAGAGAGAAAAAAAAGCCCGCGAGCGCGGAGAGAGAGGGAGAGCUGGCCGCUGCUGAUACCUGCCUUAAAAUAUUCAGCAGAAUGGCCCUCCUGCUUAACCAUACAUCUGCUGCUUUUAUGUUUUUAUUAACAAUGACAAUCCGAGGGCUUUAGAUGCUUUAAAAUAAGGGCAUUUUUGUCCAGGAUGUUCGUUUGGAUUUUAACCCUAAAUUAUCAAACAACAAAAACAAAAGUAUAAGCUUCUUUUUGAGAAAAUAUUACCAAGAUAUAUCAUUACUUGUAUUUGGAACAUUGAGGAUCUUCCAAAACGGGAGUUUAGCCACAAAAGGCCACAUAAGAAUUGCGUAUAAGCAAUGCCUUGACCCCAAAACAAAAAUUUCCCCUAAGGGUCUUUAGGAAGUUUGGCAAGUUGAAAAGAAUUUAUGCCAUUACAUAAAAGUGCAUCACAUUCAAGACUUCCAUGAGACAAAAAGUGCCUUCUAAAGCUUUUGAAUUUUAAAUCCUGCUUUUCUAAAAUAAUUUCUGAUCAUGAAACACCUUGCUCUUUGCUGUAGGAAUAUAAAGUCUCGAAUAGUUCGAGGUCUUUGUUGGACAUUUUUGAAAUCUCUGGGAAUAAAUCGGAAAAAGCUUUCCUCGAAGGGUUUUAAAAAUAGCUAAAAAAGAUUGAGGUAAACCUGAGAUAUUAGGGGAUUGCUAUGUUGUGAAGUACAUAAAUAGUAAGGUGUUGGCUAGAGCAGAAAAAGCCUCGAUUUAUCAUGAACUCUUUGCAUCAUUAAAAUUCAAAUGCAGUGGUACAGGCCCGCACAGUCAGGGCUCAAAACAAAGGCGCAGCCGCUGAUCUGUAUUCAGGUCGUUCUUAUCCACAGAGCUAAAAAACGCAAAAGGUAUCAAAGAUUUUCACGCACAACCUGGAAAUGUUCUCAGACUCGCUAUUAAAAUAAUAAAGAAGAAAAAAAAAGAAACUCAAAUCAAGCUGGAAUCAAGGAGAAACUGAUGACUCUUUCACGUGAACGCCGCAACUUUCCCAAAACCGCUUAGCCUGAAAAGCCCUGUAUAAUUAUCGACAUUCACUGAUCAAUACCAAACAGCAGAGUCCUAAACGACACCAGAGUAAAAAAGAAAAAAAUCUGCGAAGGAAAGAGGAGGAGGAGGAAGAGGAAGAAGUGGAGUGAGUGAUGCUGCUGUGCUGGACGCACCGCCGCCGAUCCCGCUCUAUCCAUCUUCAUUGGAGCUUUUGUGUGCGCAAAAAGCAAAGGCGCGCAUAAGGUAAAGCCCGCAUCAAAGCCGCGGCUUUAUUUUUAUAUCCAAUAGAUCAGCAGGCAGACAAAGCUUUAUUUUCGCCAGGAGAGAGAUAUUUUACCUCCGCCUUACGGUUUUAUGUUGGAGAGGUGUCAGCCGGGGGAAAUGGAUGGCUAAUGCAUAGGCAAAGCGCGGCUCGCCUCAGCAUGCUGCACGUCAGAGGGGGGCUGCAGGGAAGAGCAGCGGGGAUUUAGGGCCCCUGGGGGUCCAGCACGGGGGACUGAAUGCAGGGGAGGGGAUAGAAACAUCCGGCCUCCACUCAUGCUGUAUAGCUCAUAUCACAGAAAUCACACACAGUCACAGACAGACUACAUGCCUCACACCACUGAACCAGACUACCAGUGCAGGCCUGGUGGUAAAAAUCCAGGGCCAGCGUUUAUGAGGGUCAAAGUAAAGAGCCCCUGUCGUUCAGCUCUUGAUGCCAUUAUAGCACAUGCUGUAAAUAUGAGUGGCAUUAAAAAUGUGUUGUGAUGAAAGGUAAACAACAUUAACCUAGACCACCUCUCAAAGACUCCACCUGCACUCUCUCUUUGACUGUUUGUAUUUAUUACAUGUUUAUCACAAAAUGUUCAGGUAACAAAUGAAAAACAACAGCCCACUAUCCUUUCACAUACACAACAAGUAAAACAGCUGCAACUGAAUCCUCCAAGAGUUGUUUUUUUAGAUUGAUUAUAAAGUACAAAAACCCACAAACAUAUACUGAAUGGAUUAACUACAAAGUGUUGUGAUUUCAAACCAAUGAAAAAUCUGGUUGAUAUAGGUAUAGUCUAGCCUGUGUGGAAUGAGCCUGUUUUUCACAAUCCAGGGCUGGUCCAUGAGUUUUGGGGGCCUUAAGUACAGCCCCCUAAAAACCCACCUGCCCACUUUGUCCCAAUAAUAUUGCAUUAUUGUGAAUUUCUAGAUUGUUCCAUUUAUGGUGCAAUUGUUGCUUGUUAUAUAUCCCUUCCUCAGUAAUCAUUGACCAAUUGAAAGCUCAAAAAUUAUUUUCCAACCAUACCAAUCCAGCGGUCAACUCAUAAAGUUAGAGAAAAAAAAAUGCAAAAAACCAACCCAUUGUGUAUUUUUGCACAAUAGCAAAGUUUUUUUUUCUCUACAAACAAAGUAAAAAUUCUUUCAAUGAUGUUGUUGAUUCUGCACUACAGUAUUUGAUUAGAUAUUUAGUCUUUGAAAUAAACAGAAUAUUAUGUAUUUCUUUUAAAUUCUUGUAGAGCAGUUUUAGGUUAAAAAAUAUUGGAGUAAUUUUGAACACAUUUUGGAGUCUAAUAGACAGACAGCUUCAUAAUUGUUCAUUAAAAUGAAAAUGAAUUUUUACAUUUACACAGUAAAUCUUGUUUUUGUCACUGACAGACUUAGACUAUAAUUCUGACGGUCUAGCAAUAUUACAAGGAAAGAUUUCUAUAGAGAUGGACCUUUCAGUUAUAGAAGAUCAUUCAUGAUAGAAACAGCUGUUACACGACUCUUUUCAAAGUCAUCAGACUCCAUGGCUGGUGUACCAUACCAGCUGGGAGCAUGGUGUACAUCUCCAACAUGUUCAAUGUUGACC